AGCAGCCGCGGUAAUUCCAGCUCCAAUAGCGUAUAUUAAAGUUGCUGCAGUUAAAAGCUCGUAGUUGAAUUUCGGGACCAUCAUGUUGGUCGUGCCUCGGUACGUACUGGCAUUGUUGGUUUCUCCCUUCUGACGAACCAUGAUGUCAUUUAUUUGGUGUUGUGGGAAAUCAGGACUGUUACUUUGAAAAAUUGAGUGUUUAAAGCAGGCUCACGCUUGAAUACAUUAGCAUGGAAUAAUGAAAUAGGACGUUUGAUUCUAUUUUGUGGUUUCUAGGAUCGAUGUAAUGAUUAAUAGGGAUAGUUGGGGGCAUUAGUACUCAAUUGUCAGAGGUGAAAUUCUUGGAUUUAUUGAAGACUAACUACUGCGAAAGCAUUUGCCAAGGAUGUUUU
rnacentral:rRNA from 1 species